CCUACGGGUGGCAGCAGUGAGGAAUAUUGGUCAAUGGGCGGAAGCCUGAACCAGCCAAGUAGCGUGCGGGAUGACGGCCCUACGGGUUGUAAACUGCUUUUGUACGGGGAUAACACGCUCCACUUGUAGAGGUCUGCAGGUACCGUGUGAAUAAGGACCGGCUAAUUCCGUGCCAGCAGCCGCGGUAAUACGGAAAGGCCGGGCGUUAUCCGGAGUCAUUGGGCUUAAAGGGAGCGUAGGCGGCCUGUCAAGUGAGCUGUAAAAUCUGCGGGGUCAAACCGGGCCUCGCAGUUGAAACUGGAGGCCUUGAGUACACAACAGGCAGGCGGAAUUCGUGGUGUAGCGGUGAAAUGCGUAGAUAUCACGAAGAACCCCGAUUGCGAAGGCAGCCUGCCGGAGUGCAACUGACGCUGAGGCUCGAAGGUGCGGGUAUCAAACAGGAUUAGAUACCCCAGUAGUC
rnacentral:rRNA from 1 species